rnacentral:rRNA from 1 species
UGAGUAACACGUAUCCAACCUGCCGUCUACUCUUGGCCAGCCUUCUGAAAGGAAGAUUAAUCCAGGAUGGCAUCAUGAGUGCACAUGUCCGCAUGAUUAAAGGUAUUUUCCGGUAGACGAUGGGGAUGCGUUCCAUUAGAUAGUAGGCGGGGUAACGGCCCACCUAGUCAACGAUGGAUAGGGGUUCUGAGAGGAAGGUCCCCCACAUUGGAACUGAGACACGGUCCAA